rnacentral:rRNA from 1 species
UACGUAGGGUGCGAGCGUUAAUCGGAAUCACUGGGCGUAAAGCGCGCGUAGGCGGUUUGUUAAGUGGGAUGUGAAAUCCCCGGGCUUAACCUGGGAAUUGCAUUUCAAACUGGCCGACUAGAGUACGGUAGAGGGAGGUAGAAUUUCCUGUGUAGCGGUGAAAUGCGUAGAUAUAGGAAGGAAUACCAGUGGCGAAGGCGGCCUCCUGGAUCGAUACUGACGCUGAGGUGCGAAAGCGUGGGGAGCAAACAGG